GACGAACGCUGGCGGCGUGCCUAAUACAUGCAAGUCGAGCGCAGGAAGCUGACGGAACUCUUCGGAGGGAAGGCAGUGGAAUGAGCGGCGGACGGGUGAGUAACACGUAAGGAACCUGCCCCAAGGAUGGGGGUAACUCCGAGAAAUCGGAGCCAAUACCGGAUAGUUCAACGGACCGCAUGGUCCGCUGGGGAAAGGCGCUCCGGCGUCACCUUGAGAUGGCCUUGCGGUGGAUUAGCUAGUUGGUGGGGUAACGGCCCACCAAGGCGACGAUGCAUAGCCGACCUGAGAGGGUGAUCGGCCACACUGGGACUGAGACACGGCCCAGACUCCUACGGGAGGCAGCAGUAGGGAAUCUUCCACAAGGGACGAAAGUCUGAUGGAGCAACGCCGCGUGAGUGAUGAAGGUUUUCGGAUCGUAAAACUCUGUUGUAAGGGAAGAACACGUACGAGAGGGAAUGCUCGUACAUUGACGGUACCUUACGAGAAAGCCACGGCUAACUACGUGCCAGCAGCCGCCGUAACAC
rnacentral:rRNA from 1 species